AGAAAAUGACAUAAAUAACAGUUGGGGCAUAAUAAUAAUAAUAAUAAUGUCAGAGAAGAUUACUGGUGAUGAGGAAAUGUAAUCUUACACACAAGGGUUAAAGCAAAUGCCGUGCAAGGAGGGCAUCAAGAAAAGUAUGGGUAAACCGUCUGCCUUUUUUCAUACUUGCAUGCAGAUGGCAAGUCAAAUACAAACGUUGAAACAUUAUCAUGUUGAAAAUAUAAGUAGCUAUUUUAUAAAGGAAAUUAUUGGCUUUUCUUAACUGAUUGAGAUUUUAUACCCAUGAAAUUAAAAC
rnacentral:lncRNA from 1 species